rnacentral:rRNA from 1 species
UUAAGCGACUAAGCGUACACGGUGGAUGCCCUGGCAGUCAGAGGCGAUGAAGGACGUGCUAAUCUGCGAUAAGCGUCGGUAAGGUGAUAUGAACCGUUAUAACCGGCGAUUUCCGAAUGGGGAAACCCAGUGUGAUUCGUCACACUAUCAUUAACUGAAUCCAUAGGUUAAUGAGGCGAACCGGGGGAACUGAAACAUCUAAGUACCCCGAGGAAAAGAAAUCAACCGAGAUUCCCCCAGUAGCGGCGAGCGAACGGGGAGCAGCCCAGAGCCUGAAUCAGUGUGUGUGUUAGUGGAAGCGUCUGGAAAGGCGCGCGAUACAGGGUGACAGCCCCGUACACAAAAAUGCACAUGCUGUGAGCUCGAUGAGUAGGGCGGGACACGUGGUAUCCUGUCUGAAUAUGGGGGGACCAUCCUCCAAGGCUAAAUACUCCUGACUGACCGAUAGUGAACCAGUACCGUGAGGGAAAGGCGAAAAGAACCCCGGCGAGGGGAGUGAAAAAGAACCUGAAACCGUGUACGUACAAGCAGUGGGAGCACAGAGCAAUCUGUGUGACUGCGUACCUUUUGUAUAAUGGGUCAGCGACUUAUAUUCUGUAGCAAGGUUAACCGAAUAGGGGAGCCGAAGGGAAACCGAGUCUUAACUGGGCGUUAAGUUGCAGGGUAUAGACCCGAAACCCGGUGAUCUAGCCAUGGGCAGGUUGAAGGUUGGGUAACACUAACUGGAGGACCGAACCGACUAAUGUUGAAAAAUUAGCGGAUGACUUGUGGCUGGGGGUGAAAGGCCAAUCAAACCGGGAGAUAGCUGGUUCUCCCCGAAAGCUAUUUAGGUAGCGCCUCGUGAAUUCAUCUCCGGGGGUAGAGCACUGUUUCGGCAAGGGGGUCAUCCCGACUUACCAACCCGAUGCAAACUGCGAAUACCGGAGAAUGUUAUCACGGGAGACACACGGCGGGUGCUAACGUCCGUCGUGAAGAGGGAAACAACCCAGACCGCCAGCUAAGGUCCCAAAGUCAUGGUUAAGUGGGAAACGAUGUGGGAAGGCCCAGACAGCCAGGAUGUUGGCUUAGAAGCAGCCAUCAUUUAAAGAAAGCGUAAUAGCUCACUGGUCGAGUCGGCCUGCGCGGAAGAUGUAACGGGGCUAAACCAUGCACCGAAGCUGCGGCAGCGACGCUUAUGCGUUGUUGGGUAGGGGAGCGUUCUGUAAGCCUGCGAAGGUGUGCUGUGAGGCAUGCUGGAGGUAUCAGAAGUGCGAAUGCUGACAUAAGUAACGAUAAAGCGGGUGAAAAGCCCGCUCGCCGGAAGACCAAGGGUUCCUGUCCAACGUUAAUCGGGGCAGGGUGAGUCGACCCCUAAGGCGAGGCCGAAAGGCGUAGUCGAUGGGAAACAGGUUAAUAUUCCUGUACUUGGUGUUACUGCGAAGGGGGGACGGAGAAGGCUAUGUUGGCCGGGCGACGGUUGUCCCGGUUUAAGCGUGUAGGCUGGUUUUCCAGGCAAAUCCGGAAAAUCAAGGCUGAGGCGUGAUGACGAGGCACUACGGUGCUGAAGCAACAAAUGCCCUGCUUCCAGGAAAAGCCUCUAAGCAUCAGGUAACAUCAAAUCGUACCCCAAACCGACACAGGUGGUCAGGUAGAGAAUACCAAGGCGCUUGAGAGAACUCGGGUGAAGGAACUAGGCAAAAUGGUGCCGUAACUUCGGGAGAAGGCACGCUGAUAUGUAGGUGAAGCGACUUGCUCGUGGAGCUGAAAUCAGUCGAAGAUACCAGCUGGCUGCAACUGUUUAUUAAAAACACAGCACUGUGCAAACACGAAAGUGGACGUAUACGGUGUGACGCCUGCCCGGUGCCGGAAGGUUAAUUGAUGGGGUCAGCGCAAGCGAAGCUCUUGAUCGAAGCCCCGGUAAACGGCGGCCGUAACUAUAACGGUCCUAAGGUAGCGAAAUUCCUUGUCGGGUAAGUUCCGACCUGCACGAAUGGCGUAAUGAUGGCCAGGCUGUCUCCACCCGAGACUCAGUGAAAUUGAACUCGCUGUGAAGAUGCAGUGUACCCGCGGCAAGACGGAAAGACCCCGUGAACCUUUACUAUAGCUUGACACUGAACAUUGAGCCUUGAUGUGUAGGAUAGGUGGGAGGCUUUGAAGUGUGGACGCCAGUCUGCAUGGAGCCGACCUUGAAAUACCACCCUUUAAUGUUUGAUGUUCUAACGUUGACCCGUGAUCCGGGUUGCGGACAGUGUCUGGUGGGUAGUUUGACUGGGGCGGUCUCCUCCUAAAGAGUAACGGAGGAGCACGAAGGUUGGCUAAUCCUGGUCGGACAUCAGGAGGUUAGUGCAAUGGCAUAAGCCAGCUUGACUGCGAGCGUGACGGCGCGAGCAGGUGCGAAAGCAGGUCAUAGUGAUCCGGUGGUUCUGAAUGGAAGGGCCAUCGCUCAACGGAUAAAAGGUACUCCGGGGAUAACAGGCUGAUACCGCCCAAGAGUUCAUAUCGACGGCGGUGUUUGGCACCUCGAUGUCGGCUCAUCACAUCCUGGGGCUGAAGUAGGUCCCAAGGGUAUGGCUGUUCGCCAUUUAAAGUGGUACGCGAGCUGGGUUUAGAACGUCGUGAGACAGUUCGGUCCCUAUCUGCCGUGGGCGCUGGAGAACUGAGGGGGGCUGCUCCUAGUACGAGAGGACCGGAGUGGACGCAUCACUGGUGUUCGGGUUGUCAUGCCAAUGGCACUGCCCGGUAGCUAAAUGCGGAAGAGAUAAGUGCUGAAAGCAUCUAAGCACGAAACUUGCCCCGAGAUGAGUUCUCCCUGACUCCUUGAGAGUCCUGAAGGAACGUUGAAGACGACGACGUUGAUAGGCCGGGUGUGUAAGCGCAGCGAUGCGUUGAGCUAACCGGUACUAAUGAACCGUGAGGCUUAACCUU